rnacentral:rRNA from 1 species
AGAGUUUGAUCAUGGCUCAGAUUGAACGCUGGCGGUAGGCUUAACACAUGCAAGUCGAGCGGUAACAGACAUUUUGAUUUUGCUUGCAAAAUCUCGUGCUGACGAGCGGCGAACGGGUGAGUAACGCGUAGGAAUCUACCUAGUAGAAGGGGAUAGCCCGAGGAAACUCGGAUUAAUACCGUAUACGUCCUUAGGGAGAAAGAGGGCUUAGCUUUGAUGCUCUCGCUAUUAGAUGAGCCUGCGUAAGAUUAGCUUGUUGGUGAGGUAAAGGCUCACCAAGGCGACGAUCUUUAGCUGGUCUGAGAGGACGAUCAGCCACAUUGGGACUGAGACACGGCCCAGACUCCUACGGGAGGCAGCAGUGGGGAAUAUUGGACAAUGGGCGCAAGCCUGAUCCAGCCAUACCGCGUGUGUGAAGAAGGCCUUCGGGUUGUAAAGCACUUUAAGUAAGGAAGAAAAGAGUAUUGUUAAUACCAAUACUCCGUGACAUUACUUACAGAAUAAGGACCGGCUAAUUCCGUGCCAGCAGCCGCGGUAAUACGGAAGGUCCAAGCGUUAAUCGGAAUUACUGGGCGUAAAGCGCGCGUAGGUGGUUUAUUAAGUUGGGUGUGAAAGCCCCGGGCUCAACCUGGGAACUGCAUCCAAAACUGAUUCACUAGAGUACGAAAGAGGAAAGUAGAAUUCACAGUGUAGCGGUGGAAUGCGUAGAUAUUGUGAAGAAUACCGAUGGCGAAGGCAGCUUUCUGGUUCUGUACUGACACUGAGGUGCGAAAGCGUGGGUAGCGAACAGGAUUAGAUACCCUGGUAGUCCACGCCGUAAACGAUGACAACUAGCUGUUGGGAAGCUAUGCUUUUCAGUGGCGCAGCUAACGUCUUAAGUUGUCCGCCUGGGGAGUACGGCCGCAAGGUUAAAACUCAAAUGAAUUGACGGGGACCCGCACAAGCGGUGGAGCAUGUGGUUUAAUUCGAUGCAACGCGAAAAACCUUACCUACACUUGACAUACUUGGAAUCUUUUGUAAUGAAAGAGUGCCUUUUGGAGCCAAGAUACAGGUGCUGCAUGGCUGUCGUCAGCUCGUGUCGUGAGAUGUUGGGUUAAGUCCCAUAACGAGCGCAACCCUUACCCUUAUUUGCCAGCGAUUCGGUCGGGAACUAUAAGGGGACUGCCGGUGAUAAACCGGAGGAAGGUGAGGACGACGUCAAGUCAUCAUGGCCCUUACGUGUAGGG